rnacentral:tRNA from 1 species
UCUUUGAUGGUCUAGUGGUCAUGAUUUCCGGUACGUAGUAAUAUGUCCCAAUAGACCAGUACCAACAACCAUAUUAACGUCUAUACAGCUUGUCAUUCGCUAAGAUCUCAAGCGCGGGAGACCGGGGUUCGAUUCCCCGUCAGAGAG